GGCUGUUCUCAGGUGAUGCACCCUGAAAUCAGGCUUCCUCCCCUCUGGUUCCAGGUGCAUCACCCGAGAACUGCA
rfam:Myotis davidii contig228671, whole genome shotgun sequence.